rnacentral:rRNA from 1 species
CCUACGGGAGGCAGCAGUGAGGAAUAUUGGUCAAUGGGCGAGAGCCUGAACCAGCCAAGUCGCGUGAGGGAGUACUGCCCUAUGGGUUGUAAACCUCUUUUGCCGGGGAGCAAAAGCCGGACGUGUCCGGCUGUGAGAGUACCCGAAGAAAAAGCAUCGGCUAACUCCGUGCCAGCAGCCGCGGUAAUACGGAGGAUGCGAGCGUUAUCCGGAUUUAUUGGGGUUAAAGGGUGCGCAGGCGGAUUUUUAAGUCAGCGGUCAAAUCGUGGGGCUCAACCCCAUCCAGCCGUUGAAACUGGGGAUCUAGAGUGUGCGAGAGGUAUGCGGAAUGCGUGGUGUAGCGGUGAAAUGCAUAGAUAUCACGCAGAACCCCGAUUGCGAAGGCAGCAUACCGGUGCACAACUGACGCUCAGGCACGAAAGCGUGGGUAUCGAACAGGAUUAGAUACCCGGGUAGUC